GCCACUUUGCCAACACGCACCACAACAUGUCACUACAAACGCCGCCCUCUAAGCUCUCAUUGGUCGUAUGCAAGUUGACGUACUUGUAAUUUUAAAAAGAACUAAAUACAAAUGACAUCGAGUUUCUAUUUUCGAGAAAAAGGAAUUAAAUUAAUAAUAUUAUCUUAAACAAUAUUAAAACGCAAGACAAUAACGUUUGUUACACAUAAAGCAACAGUCAAUUUAUAGCUUCCUGCGACAUAUACUAUGUUGUUAUUUACACUACUUCACUGAUCUCUAAUUCAAUCUCUAUUUCAGGCCCUAAUGAAAAUUAGUGCUCCGAAACGAAUACGCACAACUAGCUACCAUCCAUGCGCAAACGGCAUGGUCGAAAGAAUGCAUCGGCAGCUUAAUGCGGCAUUGAUGUGCCAUCAAGAAACUUGGCAUAAGGCUUUACCUGUAGUGCUCCUUGGCAUGCGAUCAGCUUUGAAGGAGGAUUUGCAGACUUCUCCCGCCGUUUUAGUAUACGGGGAACCACUGUCCCUACCCGACCUCAAGCAAGCCUCUUACGGAGGAGACGAAAACACUGCUUUCGUUCAUUGAAAGCAGUAAAAUUAUAUAUAAUAAAAUGACAAAUGCCACUACGAAUAAAUUGAAAAAUGAAGAGUGGAGACGGAUAAGCGAAAAAUUCAAUAUUUGUUUACUUUAUUGCACUACUAUUUUUGUAAUAAAUACAAAAGUACAACAAUACGCCAAAAAAACUUUAUGUCCCAAUGAAACAAAAUAUAAGGAUAAAUUACUCCACUUUCAGGAAAAACUAUCAUAACACGACAUGCAUAAUUGACAGUCUCGAAAUAGAAAUUCAAAAAACCAGGAAAAGCCUUACACCAAGAACUAACUUGGUCAGAAUAAAACAUCUUAUUUCAAGUACACCAAAUGGACUAGUAAAUUAUAUUUCACAAGGUUAUGGAGGAAGAAUCUGCGAUGUGUGUCUGAUAGAAAAUUGUAAUUUUCUUAAUUGUUUACCUAGUGUGUCACAAACAAUGGCUGAUAGAGGUUUUAAGCAUAUUGAACCACUAUUACUUCGCAUUGGAUGUAAAUUAAUAAGGCCACCUAGCAUAAAAUAGGACAAUAAACUCUUAAAGAAAGAAGUGAAAAAGACCAAAAAAAUUGCAAGUAUGCGAAUACAUAUAGAGAGAAUCAUUAGAUGCAUACGAGAGAUUGCUUUUUUGAAGUCACAUGCUUGCAUAAAUAAUAAUUUUCUCAGGAAACUUGAUGACAUUAUCGUUAUUGCUUCCGGCCUAAUAAAUUUACAAACCUCUUUAAUCAAUAAGUGAUUUUUUAACCAAUGAAAGAGUAAAAUAGGUAGUAAAAAAGUAUUUAUAAGUAUGUUCAAAAGUGUGAAGCAAAAAAAAAAGUUAUUUUUCUUUUGUCCACAAUUCAUGAUCAACCUAACAUCAACGAAGUUACAGGAAAACCAGAGUUUAUCCAUUUUUACAAUUGCGAUAUCGCCAACAUGUUAAACACACCGCAGGGAAGAGUGACACAAGAACUUUAGCACUCAUUAAAGAUGUUGCUGGGCCAGGUAGGCACUGAUCCUGAUAAGUCUGUGGAGCAGUGAAUCAAGGUUGGUUCUAAUAUAAUAAUGAAAAUACAAGGCAUACAUUCUGAGACAUGUUGUGGUAGACACAUCCUUUUUUCCUCCAUUAUUAUAAUUAAUAACCGACAUGUAGCGAAGUUUGUCGAUCAUUUGAGUGAAACUAUAUUCAUUUCGUUUUCUGAUAUUUAUUUUUAUUCAUUCUUAACAAGCAAACAAGCGUUAUUACAUUAGAUUUGAUGUUAUCUUUAAAGUACUGGUUAUUAUUUUAGUUUUUGCGUGCUAUGUGUUAUGUUUUUGAAAAAUGCCGGGUCCUAAAUGAAAUUCUUUAGUUUGGGAUGUAUUCAAAUCGUCGUCAGUGAGUGGACGUGUCAUGUGUAAACAGUGUUCAGAUUCAUACAAAUAUAGUGGAAAUACGACCACGUUAUUAAACCACAUUAAAAAGAAGCAUCCUAGUAUCAUCGAGGAUUGUCAGAGUUCAUCGUCAACAAAUGAAAGUAACAAGUGAAAGAAACGGUACUUCACAACCCAGGCAGCACCAGCGUUACCAGUCUGGCCUGCCGUCAUCAACAAUUCACGUCGGGUCACCACAGCAUCCGCGUGCGCCCAUUAUCAAUUCACGUCGGGUCAACACAGCAUCCACGUGAGCUCAACAACAUUGACAAAAAAGUGGAAACUCUUGACAACUACUGGAAAGAGUUUCACCGUAAUCACUCAAGCCUUUGUUCGUACGAAGACAAGAAUAACAUACCAUACUUCAUAGGCAACCAUUAUGAUCAAGCAAUAAACUUCUACAACAAUACAAAAGCACAUAUCGAACAAGCUCUCCCUAAACUUACGACGCUGAUUAGUUCUCCCAGAGUAGAAACUAAAAUGUACCCAAUACCAGGGCCAAGUACAGGUCAGCACAUUCCCGAGCACAGAAUCUAGGGGUUUAGCAAGUGAAUUGGAGGAGAUGUUGCAAAAACAAAGGAGCAACUUCAAAGCGUCCGCCCACAAAAUGGCAGUAAUCGAGUUGGAUAACCUCACAGAAAAAUGGCAGUUUGAGGACAUUUUACGAUCGUUAGAGUCUCGAUGGACGGCCAUUGAUGACCUACACUGGGAUAUUGACCACAAACUAACACUGAUUUCCGAAAAUAAUCCAGAAUAUGAAGCGUCGUUCUUUGAAUAAAAACAAUUCUCGAAUAUUAAUUUAAUAAAAAUUUGAUGAGAACCUUUAAACUUAAGAAGAAAAUAUUUGCCAAAGAAAGUUGUUAAUGCGAAAAUAAAAAAAGGGAUUAUUAGAAAAAUGAACAAUAUGGGUGUGUGAAAUGGGUUGAUAAAAGAAAUGUUUUAAUGUUGACUAAUUGCAGACCAUGACGAUAAACUAAGAGAUACUGGGAAAAAGAAGAGAGGCACUGACGAAAACAUUAAAACACCCGUGCAGUCAACGUGUUAAUCAAUCUUGACAUGAAAUAAAUAUAUCUCAAAUGUUUAAAAUUGAUAAUGUUUUCAAUAUUUUACGUUCUACCCUCUUGGCUCUAUCUUUCAAAACAUACUAAAUUCCAUUUUGUUUGUGAAAUCUAAUUUACUACAUCCGUCUAUUUGGACUCCUAAUCAAUUAUUAGGAUAUUGUCCAGUAAUCUUAAUGUAGUUUCUAUGUAUAGAGGUUUUCCUGAAUGUUGGUAAUUUAGUUUGCUACUAUGUUGAUAAGUUAGUUUUCGUAAUUAACCAAACCACAGAAGGUAACCUGCCAUCUGAAAAUAACACUCCUAUUGUUCCUCAAAAAUCUUCAAUUGGUAACAUCCUAGCGGUAUUAUGUCGGAUAUAAUGGACAUUUUGCUUGCUCAAACUAAAAUUUAUAAACAUCAUAAUAAAAAUUGACGAAAAUUUCCGACUACAAUUGUGAAAAUGUUAAAUUGUCAACACCUAAUAAUGAACAAGUAACACAUAAUUUAAAAAAUAACAACUUCUAGCCCGCUCCAAGUAACAAGUUUUACGAAUCAUGGGAUGCGUCACCAUACAUGUUCAAAAAAAUCCUAUCUUAACGAUAGUACCAUACUCUACAUCGUCACGUUUGGCAAUUUAAAAAAAACACAAUUUUAGCAUUAUCAAUGGCAGUGCUAAUGUAGUCAGUAUACACUUAUAAAUUAUACAUACGAGUAAUGAAGGCCUAGACAUUCUAUUAUUACCUACAUUUAAUAGAUAAUUUUGCAAACCAAAUCAACUAAAAUUUAGAUAAGUAAUACCAACUUAGAUUGCCAGAUAAAUGUAAAACCACGGACCAAAUAAAGAGUUAACUUGUGAAUCAAUUUUCAGGUGAUGCUAUACUCGAAUGGAGCGUUUAUCCCACAUAUUAGGAUGCCUAAUGCUUUAGUCCAUUGUAGCAAUGGAUACGCUACAAAGAUUAUCCAAAACACCACUGUUAUAUGUUAUCUGUGACACUGUCUAUGGUUAAGUUUGUCUUCUGUCAUUCUACAUGAAGCAAAUAUGUACGUGUGUUCGAUUUAAAAUAAAAAUUAAUAUAAAAGC